AGAAAUUCCAACAAAGUCUGAAAUCUUCAGAUACUGAUCUUAAGUUGAUUUCAGAUUGUUGAUUUUUCCUUUUUUCCUAUGCUGCGUUCCCUUGAUGACUCAUCAUUCACUCAUCAACCCUCCUCUCUGUUGCACUGUGUUGUGCCAUGUGCCUUGCUCGAGUGAAACAGCAGUACUGCUGCUUCCCACCCAGAAAAGCACAUCAAUAUCUCAGCAUCAACAUGGAAGGCACUGUACAACAGGUUGACAGGCUAUUUAUUACCUAGCUAAUGAUCCUACUUUCAGACCCCUGAAAGUCACCUUGAUAUAGCAAUGUCAGGAGAGAUUGAGUCAGCAGCUCCUGAGCAUGCCGAUGCAAACAACAGAGGAGGCUGGGGAGCAGACAGAGCUUCUAAACAUCAAAGACAGAGAAGCACAGUUCGAUCUGCAGAUCAAUGUGUGGACCUGGGCAGCAGCUUGCUAAAAGGGAUGAACAGUUUGAAAGGAUCCAUCUCAUUUUCUCCCUCAUCACCCUCUCUAUUAAAUG